rnacentral:rRNA from 1 species
CCUACGGGUGGCAGCAGUGGGGAAUUUUGGACAAUGGGCGCAAGCCUGAUCCAGCUACUCCGCGUGUGUGAAGACGGCCUUCGGGUUGUAAACCACUUUUGUAGAGAACGAAAAGUCUAUUGAUAAUACCGAUAGAUGAUGACGGUACUCUAAGAAUAAGCACCGGCUAACUACGUGCCAGCAGCCGCGGUAAUACGUAGGGGGCGAGCGUUAAUCGGAAUUACUGGGCGUAAAGGGUGUGCAGGCGGUUUUGCAAGAUGGAUGUGAAAGCCCCGGGCUUAACCUGGGAAAGCCAUACAUGACUGCAAGACUAGAGUGCGUCAGAGGGGGGUGGAAUUCCAAGUGUAGCAGUGAAAUGCGUAGAUAUUUGGAAGAACACCGAUGGCGAAGGCAGCCCCCUGGGACGCAACUGACGCUCAUACACGAAAGCGUGGGGAGCAAACAGGAUUAGAUACCCUAGUAGUC